rnacentral:piRNA from 1 species
CUGGGAGAAGGGUGUUUACUCC